UACGUAGGGUGCGAGCGUUAAUCGGAAUUACUGGGCGUAAAGCGUGCGCAGGCGGUUCGCCAAGUCAGGUGUGAAAUCCCCGGGCUUAACCUGGGAAUUGCGCUUGAAACUAGCGGGCUUGAGUGUGGCAGAGGGGGGUGGAAUUCCACGUGUAGCAGUGAAAUGCGUAGAGAUGUGGAGGAACACCAGCGGCGAAGGCGGCGCUCUGGGCUGGAACUGACGCUGAGGAGCGAAAGCGUGGGGAGCGGACAGG
rnacentral:rRNA from 1 species